rnacentral:lncRNA from 1 species
UUUCUUAUGAAUGUUGUGUUUUGAUGAAAUUUGUUGUUUUAAUAUCAUGUUAAUCUUUACUUGAAUUAAAACAUUGUAUUAUGCAUGAUUUUAGUUGGUAGACAACAUGUUUUCUAGUUUAAGAUUCUUGUUGAAAAUCAUGUUAAAACAGUAAGGUUCACUGCUCCAAGGUAAUCGAUUAUUUUGGACAGAUAAUCGAUUAUCUUAGUCCAGUGAGU